UGCAUGACCGGGCUAUGUCGACAAAUAGCUUCUCCCACAUUGGAUUCAUCAGACGGUGGUUGUUGGAUUAACCUACCUCACGCUUCAGUUAAUUGGUGGUAAGCUGCCCGCCUGCUUCAACCUUCUUUCAUCCUUACCUCAUCGUGACGCUUUGGAUUCCAGAAACAACGUCGUUUUUCCCCGUCUGAGAGUUGCUAGCCUGUGUGCUUCCGGUCAUCCUGACCUCAUGUUGAGGUGGGAGACUUGGCGGUGGGUUUUCUUUUUUGGCAGUGUUGUUUCCCUCAAAGCUAUCGGCCACCUGUUGCUUGGUUUGAAGCGCCAAAAACGUGCUUCGCCACCUCUGCUUACUUCCCUUUGUUGAGUCUCCCUAUACUAAGAGCUCCAGUCGCCACCUCCUGCUGUAAUUUUUCAAGCUUUGGGCGACUUAUUUCGACCUCAAAUUGGAGCUUUAAAAUUAGGGCUUUUUCGUUUUUCUAUAUUCGUUUGUUGGAUUAUAGUUAAAGGAGGCAUUCUCCACUAUCAGAUUAUGCUAUUGAUUCUUUGGAAGAAACAACUUCCAAUUUUGAGUUGGGAUUUGUUAGGAAGAAGUGUCUAUAAAGUUGUGGUACAUCCUUGAUUUUUUUUCGCCCAUUUACUCUGCAUCUUCUGCAUUUUAAUCUCUUUUACAUGAUUGCUUCUCUCCUCACAAGAAUCAACACCUCUCUAGGUCUAUUCUUCUUCAUGUCUUCUACUUACAUCUUUUAAAUGGUCUGGAGCAGUUCACACACCUUUGUAAUACUCAAGAACAUGAUUGAGGAGUCACCUUUCCGAAUUCCUCUUUAUGACAGACGUCUUUCCACAUGGAUGAGACAGAAGAGUCACCGUCUACCUUCAUGGUUAAAAACAAAGAAAUUCCAUCAUGUCUUCCUCAAAGCCGACAUAUACUAAUAAUUUUCCAGAUAUAGAAGUUGUUGUGGGGAGAUGAUUUCUUCCUAUCUUACUGACCAACCUUAGUUAUACAUAUUAUUAUACUAUUCAGCUACUCGUUGUGCAAAUCAUUAGGAGUAAAGGUUAGUUUAUACCUCUUUCUUUACUUUGAAAUCUCUUUCAUGAUUAUUUUUAAAUUUAUUUAAUGAGCUUGAGAUUGCUCUCGUGGUGCAUUUGCAAUGAUUGUUGUGUGUUAUUCUGAUAUUGGAUCAUUAAGGGAGGCUAAUCUUAAAAGUUGGACUUCCUUGAUUCUUGAUAGCUAUUCUUACUCGGUUGUGGCUUCCUAAUCAGCCGAAGGGCUUGAUAUUGAAGGGUGUAAGGCUCUUGAGGUGGGACACGUGGCACCUGAUCUCAUUAUAUGCCUCAUAUACCUCCAAAAGUAAUUAUGUUGAACGUUAUUACUGGUUGUUGCAUUUUUCGUGAUUGUAUUUUAUUAUAUUCAAGUUAUUUUAGAUAGGCAUAAGCAAUUACAUAAAGAAAUUAAGUUUCAAUAUUAAGGGGUAAGAAAGCUAUCAUUCCUAUUGAUGCAACCAGGAAUUGGCUUUGGCAAGAAACUGGACAAAGCUCGUCUAUAUACUCUAAUGAUGUAGGUGUUCAACAACCUGUUUAUUAUUGGUAUUUUAGAUGAUAGAGUUAAUGUUUUUUAUAUUCGGGUACCAAAACAUAACACCAUAAGAACCGAACUGAGAUUUACUCAUAACUUUAUCACUUACCUAUCUUAUUUUCUAAAAUUAUAAUGUAUUUUAUUUUAAAAUUCAAAUAUUCUAUUUGAAUUUGAUUACUUAAGUAUUUUAUUUUAUAAUAAAGUUAUAAGGUGUUUUAUUUUAAAAUUCAAAUGUUAUGUUUGAAUUUUAUAAAUACCAAUGGCAUAUCAAAUUAUUUGAUUUUUUUUUUUGCGUUUUUAUGUUUAUUUAAAAUCUUUGCCCAUGUUCUUCAUUCCUUAUGCGCAUAUGCUGAUUAUGUUCUUAUAUUUAGUUUUGCACAUACAUUUUUAAUGUUAAAUAUUAGUUAUGGAGUCUCUAAUAUCAUAUCAACUUGCUGUUUUCCUAAUCUUUUGUUACCAUGAAAACCAUUUGGUCUUCUAAUUUUCAUUUAUACUAAUUUAAUGUUGCCUUCAUUAUUAGGAGAGAUAGGAAAUGUGGUGGCUCAAUUUUUGUUUAUCAUCUUGCCAAUUGCUAAAUAUCCAAUGUAGAAUUCUCGAGUCAUAAGCUCUCAGAUUCUUAAUGGCGUGAAGACUUUAGCCAAUGUUCUGCACAGUAAGUGUUUGGUGAAAUGCCCGUUUAUAACUUUUUUAAUUUGAUGAAUUUUUUAAGUUUUCUUUUUACUUAUCAAUCAUAAAAGACAAUUGGACUUUACUUUGUAAUAUCAGAAAAGCUUCUGGAUGCUAAAAACCUAAGGGAAGAUUGAUUGGAUUAAUCUAAUGAUAUGUUCCUUUUUAAAUUUGUUACCAGCUUGUAUUGUUUUUUUUAA